ACGCUAGCUACAGGCUUAACACAUGCAAGUCGAGGGGCAGCGGGUUGAAAGCUUGCUUUCAAUGCCGGCGACCGGCGCACGGGUGCGUAACGCGUAUCAAACCUGCCUCAUACUCGGGGAUAGCCUUGCGAAAGUAAGAUUAAUACCCGAUGUUGUUGCUUUCUCGCAUGGGAGAGUAACCAAAGAUUUAUCGGUAUGAGAUGGUGAUGCGUCCGAUUAGGUAGUAGGCGGGGUAACGGCCCACCUAGCCUUCGAUCGGUAGGGGUUCUGAGAGGAAGGUCCCCCACACUGGAACUGAGACACGGUCCAGACUCCUACGGGAGGCAGCAGUGAGGAAUAUUGGUCAAUGGGCGAGAGCCUGAACCAGCCAAGUAGCGUGCAGGAUGACGGCCCUCCGGGUUGUAAACUGCUUUUAGUUGGGAAUAAAAAAAGGGACUUGUCCCUUCUUGUAUGUACCAUCAGAAAAAGGACCGGCUAAUUCCGUGCCAGCAGCCGCGGUAAUACGGAAGGUCCAGGCGUUAUCCGGAUUUAUUGGGUUUAAAGGGAGCGUAGGCGGAUUGUUAAGUCAGCGGUUAAAGGGUGUGGCUCAACCAUGCAUUGCCGUUGAAACUGGCGAUCUUGAGUGCAGACAGGGAUGCCGGAAUUCGUGGUGUAGCGGUGAAAUGCUUAGAUAUCACGAAGAACUCCGAUCGCGAAGGCAGGUGUCCGGGCUGCAGCUGACGCUGAGGCUCGAAAGUGUGGGUAUCAAACAGGAUUAGAUACCCUGGUAGUCCACACAGUAAACGAUGUAUACUCGCGGUUUGCGAUAGAUUGUAAGCCGCCAAGCGAAAGCAUUAAGUAUACCACCUGGGGAGUACGCCGGCAACGGUGAAACUCAAAGGAAUUGACGGGGGCCCGCACAAGCGGAGGAACAUGUGGUUUAAUUC
rnacentral:rRNA from 1 species